AAGUGUUACAGCUCUUUUACUAUUUGUCUAGAAGGUUCUUUCUCUGAAGGAGCCGCU
rnacentral:snRNA from 1 species